rnacentral:tRNA from 1 species
GACCGCGUAGCUCAGUUGGAAGAGCAUUGGGCUAGUAUUCCAAAGGUUGUAGGUUCGAAUCCUGCCGUGGCCA